ACGCUGGCGGCGUGCUUAACACAUGCAAGUCGAACGAGAAAGCCCGGUUUCGGUUGGGCGAGUAAAGUGGCGCACGGGUGAGUAACGCGUAGGUAAUCUGCCCCUGUGUUCGGAACAACAGUGCGAAAGCGCUGCUAAUACCGGAUGUGGCCAAGAGACGGUGGUUUUUUGGUUAAAGUCGGCCUCUCAAAGAAGCUGAUGCACGGGGAUGGGCCUGCGUCCUAUCAGCUAGUUGGUAGGGUAACGGCCUACCAAGGCUUCGACGGGUAGCUGGUCUGAGAGGAUGAUCAGCCACACUGGCACUGAAACACGGGCCAGACUCCUACGGGAGGCAGCAGUGAGGAAUUUUGCGCAAUGGCCGCAAGGCUGACGCAGCAACGCCGCGUGGGUGAAGAAGGCCUUCGGGUCGUAAAGCCCUGUCAGGUGGGAAGAAUGGCCUGGGGAUGAAUAAGCCCCGGGAGUGACGGUACCACCAGAGGAAGCACCGGCUAACUCCGUGCCAGCAGCCGCGGUAAUACGGAGGGUGCAAGCGUUAUUCGGAAUUACUGGGCGUAAAGCGCGUGCAGGCGGGCUAGCAAGUCUGAUGUGAAAGCCCUGGGCUUAACCCGGGAAGUGCAUUGGAAACUGCUAGUCUUGAGUGUUGGAGAGGAAGGGGGAAUUCCCGGUGUAGAGGUGAAAUUCGUAGAGAUCGGGAGGAAUACCAGUGGCGAAGGCGCCCUUCUGGACGACAACUGACGCUGAGACGCGAAAGCGUGGGGAGCAAACAGGAUUAGAUACCCUGGUAGUCCACGCUGUAAACGAUGAUCACUAGGUGUCGCGGGUA
rnacentral:rRNA from 1 species